GUUGAUAGUUACGCAAGAGGGAAAAAGGAGCAUGUUUUGUUUACUUUCUCUAUCGAAUACAGUUUGCCCCGUCUACAAUUUGAUCGAUUAUCAACGUUUAAAAAUACUGAAAGUUGUAUUACAAAAGUAGUUUGAAAUAUUUUGGCAAAGUUUAUAGGCAACUUUUGAAAUGUUUUGUAGUGACGUUGUGUUUUGGAAAGCUGUUUUUUUCCGGAUCAAACCUGAGGAUAUUGGAGUGCCAACAAAGAAGCUUGUCAAAGGAAGAUGAGUGAACCAGUCCUUCAUGUCACGGCCAUCGAAAGAAGUGGACCAAAGUGCAGUGUGUAAGGCCCAAGCUGAACAUGAGGACUUCUGUGAUGAAGCAGGCUGCCCAGAUAAAGCCCAUCCAGAAGAGCCAGAAGAGGACGAGGCAAGCAGCAGACACUUUUGCGGUCACAGCAGUCAACAGCACACCCCUCAACAUCGCCUCUGCAGUACAGGAGGAACUACUGCAGGUGCCGCCCUGCAAGCAGAAAGAGGUGUCCUCUCCCUCCUCCAGGGUCAGGGCCCAGAUGAGCCUUGGUGGUUCCCAGGAGUCCUCUCUCUAGCCCUGUGGUGAUGUCUCAUUCUACAAUGGAAGCCCCUUCCGCCAGCUCCUCCUCCGCCAUGGAUGAAUUUGACGAGCUAACGAACAAGUUCUUAGGCUACUAUCAUGAGUUCAACUGUGGGCUGGACCCCGGCAAGGGAUUUAACAACCUCCUGUUGGAGCUGAAUGAGGUGAUCGACAGCUAGACUAACCACCUAAUACACGAUACACCAUUCACAAACUUGGUCCAUUGACCUAGAGUAACUCCUAUGCUUAUCACUUGAUACUCCGUUCACGACCUUGAACCAACCCUUGUUCGAGAAUAAAGCCUACGUUCAUCUGCACCAGUAGGAUUUCCAAUAACAACCAGAACAACCCCCAGAACCAAGCACCAGUUGAACUUCAACCUACCAAGAGCGCAACUUGCAGGGCGUUACCCUAUCACUACCAUAGAGGAGGGUUUAUUUGACAUCUCACCUAAUUUAUUUGGGAGGAAAUGACAUUUUUAUGUAACUGAAGAUCCCCAACCACCUCCACCGUCUAUCUAUCCAUGCCAUCUGAGUAGAGACUGGGUUUGCUAUAAUAUGUCAGGAGGGGACUUCUUUUCUAUUCUUUUUUUUCUGUUAUUAUCUAUUUCGUCAAUUAAAAAACACAUUGUAUUUGAUGUUUUUAUAUUAAUUUUUUUUAAAUCUAUUUUAAUAUCUGGACAUUUUAUGAUUAUUUGAUGACACUAAUUAAAUACUUGUGUAAGGAUCUUUCAACAAUCUUUGUUAAUUUUCCUUUUAUGGAAAUUAACAGAUUUUUUUUUUUAUAUGAAAAAAAAAAACAUCCUCAGGUAAGGGCUUGUGGUCUCCCUUGCUGAGCCUGCCACCCAUUAAUAUAUAUUUUUCAUUGUUCUUGCAGGAAGAGUGAAUCUGUGUACUGUUUAUACCAGCUUUAAAUGGAAGAGCUACAAUAACUAACAUGGCUAACAGGGUGUCACAUACUAUAGUUAUCCUGCUCCUGCAUCUGCCUUCUGCCACUUCCACUAGUGGCGCGCAGUCAACUGUUUGUUCCCCUGCAACUGUUUGUUCCCCUGCAACUGUUUGUUCCCCUGCAACCUACAACGGUUGUGGGAACUUUGAGCAGGCUAUUUGAGGUAAAUUAACCAUAGGACGAUUAACACUAAUGUGUGUAGUGUACCCUCCCAAAAAGAAAAUAUAUGUAUGUAAAAGUUAGUUAUUUUUAAAUACACAACAGUGUUAAUGUUUGGAUGAAAUGCCCUUUUGGAUUAUGUUUUAAACGCAAUAAAUGAAUCAUGAC
ensembl:lncRNA